GAUGAACGCUGGCGGCGUGCCUAAUACAUGCAAGUCGAGCGAAUGGAUUAAGAGCUUGCUCUUAUGAAGUUAGCGGCGGACGGGUGAGUAACACGUGGGUAACCUGCCCAUAAGACUGGGAUAACUCCGGGAAACCGGGGCUAAUACCGGAUAACAUUUUGAACCGCAUGGUUCGAAAUUGAAAGGCGGCUUCGGCUGUCACUUAUGGAUGGACCCGCGUCGCAUUAGCUAGUUGGUGAGGUAACGGCUCACCAAGGCAACGAUGCGUAGCCGACCUGGGAGGGUGAUCGGCCACACUGGGACUGAAACACGGCCCAGACUCCUACGGGGGGCAGCAGUAGGGAAUCUUCCGCAAUGGACGAAAGUCUGACGGAGCAACGCCGCGUGAGUGAUGAAGGCUUUCGGGUCGUAAAACUCUGUUGUUAGGGAAGAACAAGUGCUAGUCGAAUAAGCUGGCACCUUGACGGUACCUAACCAGAAAGCCACGGCUAACUACGUGCCAGCCGCCGCGGUAA
rnacentral:rRNA from 1 species